UGGGAUUACAGGCAUGAGCCACCAUGCCCGGCCCACCAUUGCUUUUAAACAUGCUCAUAAGACUGCACCAUCUUCACCUGCUUUGGCAAAAGGUAUUUUGAGCAGUGUGUAUGCAAGGCAGCUUUUUCAUGCUGAAUUUUAUAAUUUUAAUUAACAAUAGUUAACAUUUACCACUAGUGUUACCAGAAAGGGGUCCCUAUCCAGACCCCAAGAGCAGAUUCUUGAACCUUGCGUGGGAAAGAAUUCAGGGCAAGUCCAUAGAGUAAAAGUGAAAGCAAGUUAAUUCGAGAAGUAGAGAAACAAAAGAAUGACUGCUUCAUAGACAGAGCAGCAGUAUGGGCUGCUUAACUGAGUAUACUUAUAGUUAUUUCUUGAUUAUGUGCUAAACAAGGGGUGGAUUAUUCAUGAGUUUUCUGGGGAAAGGGCAGAGAUUUCCCAGAACUGAGGGAACAGACUAUAUAGGGUAACUUCUAUAUAGGGUUUUUUAGAGUAUAUAGCCUAUAGUUUUUUAGACUAUAUAUAGGAUAACUUCUAUAUAGGGUAACUUUACAAAUGCCAUGGUACUUGUAAACUGUCAUAGCACUGGUGGGAGUUUUUUAGCAUGUUAAUGUAAUUGGGAUGUAAUGAGCAGUAAGGAUGACAAGAGGUCACUUUCAUCACCAUCUUGGUUUGGGUUGGUGUUGGCCAGCUUCCUUACUGCAUCCUGUUUAAUCAGCAGGGUCUUUGUGACCUGUAUCACAUGCCAACCUCCUAUCUUAUCCUGAGACUAAGAAUGUCUAACCUUCUGGGAAUGCAGCCCAGGAGGUCUCAGCCUUAUUUUCCCAGCCCCUAUUCAAGAUGGAGUCACUUGGGUUCAAACAUCUCUGAUGGAUGGGCGUGAGCCACUGGGCUUGGCCUGAGCACUUUUUAUAGUGUAGCAAUUAUUUGAGCAUUCAGAUUUCUAAAGUAGGAUGCAUGUGGAUGGUGAGUAAAUGGUAGCAGAACUCAGAUAAGAGUGGGAUGCAGCAGUCAGGAAUGACACCCAUUCUUUUAAACCAAGACCCUGAGUGGGGAAGGCAAGUCAACCAACACUGACUGUAGGAUCAACUCAAAAGCUGGUCUUUACAUGGGAACACAUUCUGGUUACUCUAAUGGCUUUAAGUCUUAGCAACCAUUACUCCGACAUAUACUGCGUUUUUGACUGUGACUAUAACUGCCAGCCCAUAUCUAAGGUGCAUUUGCAUACCAUACCUUUUCCUUUUUGAUGUAGCCGUGAUAACCAUCAGCAUGCUUUGCUCAAGUACUUCAUAUUCAGUAGGACUUACCAGAUAAGAAACUCAGGAGCUGCUCCUCUCUGAGCCAAUGAGAAACUCAGUUGCUGCUCCUCCCAGGGGCACUUAUCUUUAGUUGAGUUAGCCUUUAAUCAGAUUGCCAUUAUAACUGGGCUCUGUUCUGAAAGAAAGACCUGAUAAAUCUUGUUUGAUGAUGCCAAGUAAGUCAUGUCUAUUUGCAGAUUUCAAAGAUUAUUGCUAAGAAUUCAGGCUGGGUGCAGUGGCUCAUGCCUGUAAUCCCAGCACUUUGGGAGUCCAAGAUGGGCAAAUUACUCUAGCCCAGGAAUUGAGACCAGCCUGGACAACAUGGUGAAACGCAUCUCUACAAAAAAAAAAAAAAAAAAAAAAAGAGGAGCCAGGUGUGGUGUUGGGUGCCUGUUACCAGCUACUCAGGAGGCUGAGGUCAGAGGAUUACCUGAGCCCAGGAGGUCGAGGCCGCAGUGAACCAAGAUUGCAUCACUGCACCCCAGCCCAGAUGACAGAGUAAGACACUGUCUCAAAAAAGAAAAUAAAAUAAUUUAAUAGCAAUUAGGGCAGGCUUUGCAUAAUCACAUAGACAAAAAUGUACUCUUUUGCUGGGCAUGGGGGCUCACACCUGUAAUCUCAGUUUUGGGAGGCCGAGGUGGGCGGAUCACCUGAGGUCAGGAGUUUGAGACCAGCCUGAGCAACAUGGUAAAACCCCAUCUCUACUAAAAAUACAAAAAACUAGCAGGAUGUGGUGAAUCAUGUGGUGUGGUCCCUGCUACUUAGGAGGCUGAGGCAUGAGAAUCACUUGAACAUGAGAGGCAGAGGCUGCAGUGAGCUGAGACUGCACCACUGUACUCCAGCCUGGGCAACAAAGCCAGACUCCAUUCCACCCCCCUGCCCCCCUAAAAAAGUCCUCUUUUCCUUUGAAUAUACACUCUUUUUUUUUUGUAAAGACAAUCUAGCAUUUUAUAUUACUCUGUUCUCAUGCUGCUAAUAAACACAUACCCAAGACUGGGUAUUUUAUAAAGGAAAGAAGUUUAAUUGACUCACAGUUCCACAUGGCUGGGGAGGCCUCACAUUUGUGGUGGAAGGCAAAGGAGGAGCAAAGUCAUGUCUUGCAUGGCAGCAGGCAAGACAGAAUGAGAGCCAAGUGAAAGGGGGAGCCCCUUAUAAAAACAACAGAUCUUGAGAGAUUUAUUCACUACCAUGUGAACACUAUGGGGGAACCUCCCCCAUGAUUCAAUUAUCUCCCACUGGGUCCCUCCCACAACACAUAGGAAUUAUGGGAGCCACAAUUCAAGGUGAGAUUUGGGUGGGGACACAGCCAAACCAUAUCAUUCCACCUCAGCCGCUGCCAAAGCUCAUGCCUUCACAUUUCAAAACCAAUCAUGCCUUCCUAAUAGUCCCCCAAAGUCUUAACUCAUUUCAGCAUUAACUCAAAAGUCCAUAGUCCAAAGUCUCAUCUGAGAUAAGGGAAGUUCCUUCCACCUAUGAGCCUGUAAAAUCAAAAGCAAGUUAGUUACUUCCUAGAUAUAAUGGGGGUACAGGAAUUGGAUAAAUACACCCAUUCCAAACAGGAGAAAUUGGUCAAAAUGAAGAGGCUAAAGGCCCCAUGCAAAUCCAAAAUGCAGCAGGGCAGUCAAAUCUUAAAGCUCCAAAAUGAUCUCCUUUGACUCCAUGUCUCACAUCCAGGUCACGCUGAUGCAAGAGGUGGGUUCCCAUGGUCUUGGGCAGCUCCACCCCUGUGGCUUUGUAGGAUACAGCCUCCCUCCCAGCUGCUUUCACAGGCUGGCAUAGAGUGUCUGUGGCUUUUCCAGGCACACAGUGCACGCUGUGAGUGGAUCUUUCAUUCUGGGGUCUGGAGGCUGGUGGCCCUCUUCUAACAGCUCCACUAGACAGUGCCCCAGUGGGGACUUUUUGUCGGGGCUUCUACCCCACAUUUUCCUUCCUCACUGCUCUAGCAGAGGUUCUCCAUGAGGGCCCCACCCCUGCAGCAAGCUUUUGCCUGGACAUCCAGACAUUUCCAUACAUCCUCUGAAAUCUAGGCAGAGGUUCCCAAACCUCAGUUCUUGACUUCUGUGCACCCACAGGCUCAACACCAUGUGGAAGCUGCCAAGGCUUGGGGCUUGCACCCUCUGAAGCCAUGGCCUGAGCUGUAUCUUGGCCCCUUUUAGCCAUGGCUGAAGUGGCUGGGACACAGGGCACCAAGACCCUAGGCUGCACAUAGCAGGGGGGCCCUGGACAUGGCCAGGAAACCAUUUUUUCCUUCUAGGCCUGAGGGCCUAUGAUGGGAGGGGCUGCCUCAAAUGUCUCUGACAUGCCCUGGAGACAUUUUCCCUAUUAUCUUGCCAAUUAACAUUUAGCUCCUCAUUACUUAUGCAAAUUUCUGCAGCUGGCUUGAAUUUCUCCUUGGAAAAUUGGAUUUUCUUUUCUAUCACAUGGCAUCAUCAGGCUGCAAAUUUUCCAAACUUUUAUGCUCUGUUUCCCUUUUAAAACUGAAUGUUCUUAAUAGCACCUAAGUCAUCACUUGAAUGCUUUGCUGCUUAGCAAUUUUUUUCUGUCAGAUGCCCUAAAUCAUCUUCCUCAAGUUCAAAGUUCCACGAACCUAGGGCAGGGGCAAAAUGCCACCAGUCUCUUUGCUAAAACGUAGCAAGAGUCACCUUUACUCCAGUUUCCAACAAGUUCCUCAUCUCCAUCUGAGAGCACCUCAGCCUGGACUUCAUUGUCCGUAUCACUAUCAGCAUUUUUGUCAAGGCCACAUUUUCCUGUCUUCUUCUGAGCCCUCCAAACUCUUCCAACCUCUGCCUGUUACCCAGUUCCAAAGUCGCUUCCGCAUUUUCGGGUAUCUUUAUAGCAGCGCCCCACUCUAUCAGUACCAAUUUACUGUAUUAGUCUGUUCUCACAUUGCUAAUAAAGACAUACCUGAGACUGCAUAAUUUAUAAGGAAAGAGGUUUAAUUGACUCACAAUUCCACGUGGCUGGUGAGGCCUCACAAUCAUGGUGGAAGGCAAAGGAGGAGCAAAGUCAAGUCUUGCAUGGCAGCAGGCAAGGGAGAAUGAGAGCCAAGUGAAAGGGGAAACCUCGUAUAAAAACAUCAGAUCUCACGGACUUAACUCAUUACAAGGAGAACAGUAUGGGGAAACCAACCCCACGUUUCAAUUAUCUCCCACUGGGUCCUUUCUGUGACACAUGGGAAUUAUGGGAGUUACAAUUCAGGAUGAGAUUUAGGUGGCGACACAGGCAAACCAUAUAAAAUUUAUAGUGUGAUAACAUUUGAAUAGUAUUAAUUAGUAGAUAUAGGUGAUAUGGUUUGGCUGUGUCCCCACCCAAAUCUCAUCUUGAUUGUAAUUCCCACGAUUCCCACAUGUUGUGGGAGAAACCUAAUGGGAGGUGAUUGAAUUAUGGGGGUGGGUCUUUCCUGCGGUGUUCUCAUGAUAGUGAAUGAGUCUCACAAGAUCUGAUGGCUUUAAAAGGGGCGUUUCCCUGCACAAGCUCUCUUCUCUUGUCUGCCGCCAUGUGAAACAUGGCUUUCGCCUUCCACCUUGAUUGUGAGGCCUUCCUGGCCACAUGGAACUCUAAGUCCAUUAAACCUCUUUCUUUUGUAAAUUGCCCAGUCUCGGGUAUGUCUUUAUCAGCAACGUGAAAAUGGACUAAUAUGAUAGGUCAUCUGGAUUAAGAUGCCAUUAAACCCCUAGUGCAGAAGAUGAAAGUGACUCUAGGUAUAUUUGCCUCAUUCUUUAAUAAUUUUACAUUCUCACAGUUUCACAUUGUGCUGUGUCUACACAAAUCCUAAGGAUGUCAUGAACAAACAAUAAGGCAGACCAACCCUUGGUGAUAUGUAUGUAGCUAUGUUUUGUUUCAUUUUAAUGAAUUUGUGGUCUUUAGAGAUAAUGGACAAAAGUAAUUUAUGGAUGGACCUGGGGCCUGGAAGUCCAAGCCUUUUCCUGAAGAGGGAGGGGCCUACUCAAGGCAUCCACUGUGGAGGACAUCCCUGGUGACUGUAAACCUGUGGCAUCUGGCUUGCUGGCUUUUGCCCUUUCCUUAGGGAUCUGUCUGGCACCCACCAUGGCUCUGGCUCUGGACUCAUACCCCUCUUUUCAUAAACCCUAACUGCAUGGAAAGCAUGUUGUAAACAUGCUCAUGUAGAAAUGGAAACAACUCGAGAAUUUGUAUACUGGCCUUCCCUGGUGAUUAAUUUCAAUUGGCAAUAAAAGCCACAACCUAAAGGAACUGAAUGUUUGAGGAAUUCAAAGAGUCAUUUCUAUGGGGGCAUGUGUGUGUGUACAUGCACACAUGUCUAUGAAUUAAGUUAUACACAGACUUUGAAUUUCACGGCCAGAUGACCAGAUUCUUCUCAAAUCUGAAAAAAAAAUACAUUUAAAGUCUCACCCAAUUGGGCACGCAGCUCUUUGAACAGUUUCUUCCAGCAUUAUGUCCCUAUGCCCUGCAGCCUAAUACCUUCUCAAGUUGAUCUCCCCCCAGGCACAGCCUUGUUCCAGCCACACAUUAACCCCUUGCCCUGUACUCUGCCCCCAUCAUCCUCAUCCUGACUGAGAACUAAGCUCUGAUUUUUUUAAUCUUGCCCAAAUUCCUAUCUAAGGGGUCUGGAGGGUCAUGCCCUAUAAACCAUAAAUUCUCAUCAGAUGGGUUUUAUUUAGCUCUAUAUAUCAUGAGUUACUUUGCAACCUGACUCUGGCAUAACAUUACAAGACAAGGAAGAAAAUAAAAAUAUUUUACCCCAAAACAUGUUUCUUUGCCAUAUCUUGAAAUGGCCCUGCAAAGCUGUCCUUUGUGGGGGAAAAUUUGCAUCUGCGGAGAAUCUCCAUUAACAUAGCUGGAUCUUUUUCUUCCAGGUACCCCCGUGCCAUCCCCCGCAAUAGUAAAGAUAUUAACUAAAAGUCUAGCACCUUUUAAAGAUCUGAAUAGGAAACAUGUGUCAUCGGUUGUCUCUAAGGGCAGCCACUUCAAAAAGAACCUUGUUCUCCACAAUCUUUUAUCUUAACCUGAGCAUUUCCUUUCUAUCCAUCCCAGGUCUUUAGACAAACUCAACCAAUUGUCAACCAGAAAAUGUUGGAAGUUCCCUCCUACCCCGCCCGCCUUUGAGUUGUCCGGCCUUUCUGGACCUAACCAAUGUAUUUCUUAAAUAUAUUUGAUUGAUGUCUCAUGGCUCUUUAAAUGUAUAAAAGCAAGUUGUGCCCCAACCCCGGCCACCUUGGGCACAUGUUCUCAGGACCUCCUGAGGACUGUGUCCACAGGCCAUGGUCACUUAUAUUUGGCUCAGAAUAAAUCUUUUAAAAUAUUUUACAGAGUUUGACUCUUUUCAUCAACACGACUCAAAACCCUGUGACAAAUCUUCCUUGUCUAAAUUAUUUGGCAUAAGUUGUCUUCAAAGUAUUGGUCUUAACCUACACUAGCAGCUUUAAAACACCCACUUUCCUAACUUUCUCCAUGUUCCAGCUAAACUACGGGGUAAGUGUGAAGACGAGAGCUAUCCAAAGACUGAACUUGGGUAUGACAACAUGUAGAGGUUUGGGAGAUGAGGGGGAUUCAACAAUAACAAAGGGACAUGGCCAAUGAAGGAGAAGGAGAGCCCAGAGAGGGGUGCUGUAGAGGCCAAGAAAGCAGUUUUUCUUCCUGGAGAGGGA
rnacentral:lncRNA from 1 species